UAGCCAAAUUCAUGCCUGUGGACAGA
rnacentral:piRNA from 2 species